rnacentral:rRNA from 1 species
UACGUAGGGGGCAAGCGUUGUCCGGAUUUAUUGGGCGUAAAGAGCGUGUAGGCGGCUUUACAGGUCCGUUGUGAAAACUCGAGGCUCAACCUCGAGACGCCGGUGGAAACCGUAAAGCUAGAGUCCGGAAGAGGAGAGUGGAAUUCCUGGUGUAGCGGUGAAAUGCGCAGAUAUCAGGAGGAACACCGAUGGCGAAGGCAGGUCUCUGGGCAUUAACUGACGCUGAGGAGCGAAAGCAUGGGGAGCGAACAGG